rnacentral:rRNA from 1 species
AUUGAACGCUGGCGGCAGGCUUCACACAUGCAAGUCGAACGAGUGGCGGACGGGUGAGUAAUGCCUGGGAAACUGGCUGAUGGAGGGGGAUAACUACGGGAAACUGUAGCUAAUACCGCAUACCAUAGGAUGUGCCCACAUGGGAUUAGCUAGUUGGUUGGGUAACUGCGCACCAAGCCGACGAGCCCUAGCUGGUCUGAGAGUAUGACCAGCCACACUGGGACUGAGACACGGCCCAGACUCCUACGGGAGGCAGCAGUGGUGAAUAUUGCGCAAUGGGGGCAAGCCUGAUGCAGCCAUGCCGCGUGUAUGAAGAAGGCCUUCGGGUUGUAAAGUUCUUUCAGCGGGGAGGCGUUAACCACAGAAGAAGCACCGGCUAACUCCGUGCCAGCAGCCGCGGUAAUAC